rnacentral:rRNA from 1 species
UACAGAGACGGCAAGCGUUGCUCGGAUUCAUUGGGCGUAAAGGGUCCGCAGGCGGUCCGGCAAGUCGGAUGUGAAAGCCCAUGGCUUAACCAUGGAGGGUCAUUCGAAACUGCCGGGCUUGAGGACUGGAGAGGAGACUGGAAUUGUCGGUGUAGCAGUGAAAUGCGUAGAGAUCGACAAGAACACCGGUGGCGAAGGCGGGUCUCUGGACAGUUCCUGACGCUCAGGGACGAAAGCUAGGGGAGCAAACGGG